rnacentral:lncRNA from 1 species
CCCACCUGGGCUGUACCGGACAACUGAGAGCUGUUCAUUGCCGUCAGUGACAUCGGAUACAAUCUCUCUGGUCUCUGUGUCCAAAACCAACCACCUGAAAGGAAAAGGGAAGGAAGCAAGGAGGCAAGAUGUGAGCCUACCCCCAGGGAGGCUCUGAGCAAAGAGUCAGCAAGAAGACAGAAUAUCAGGCUGUGGUGUCUGGAAGGAGGCUGGGGGAUGGGAUGAGGCUAAGGGCAUAGAAGUGCUGAGGGGCUUCUGAUGUCUCCUGAGAAAGAAGUCAGAAACUGCAGACCAGGCCAACCACAGAAACCUUGUGGAGUCAGUCAGCCUGGCACUUCCCUGUUCGCCCACCCACAUCCACCCCUCCCAAGCCCACUGCUUCCCCAUCCUGGGCUGCUACCAGACUGAAGAGUAUACAUGGGGAAGACUUGGUGACAGCAGGAGAGGGGAGGCCUGGGUUACAGAGAAGCACCCGAAAGGUGUGGUUCAACACUUUAGUUAGCCUUGGUCACCUCUUGUCCCUGUCCCCGUUACCAAGAACCCUUCCUAGACUUCCCUGCUUUUCUUCCUAGGAGGUCUGGCAUUCUCUCACCUCCCUGUGUUCAGUCCUACAACCACAACUGCCCCACUUGGGUGGAAGUCAGCACAUAAACCCGUCUCCUGGGAAGAAAAAAAGACCCCAGCGCAUCUCUCACCUCUGCCUCCUGGAGGGCCACCAACCCGGGCCCCCACUGCACCAGUCGUCGGUCCCGCCCACCACCACUCAGCACUGUCCCAUCCCGGCGGAGACACAGGGCAAAGAUGGACCCCUCGUGAGCAUGGGCCUGGGCCACGAUCGUGUAGGUCUCUGUUGGUAAAGGCUAGAAUUUCUGAGAUACAAACAUCCUAAAUGCUAGCCCUAACCACAUACCUUUGGCCCCACCCCUGCCUGGGGUCUUGGAAUCUGAGACACUUCGACCCCAGGUAAGAAUGUUCCCCUCGGAAUCUCCAGUGAGGAUGUCUCCAUCAGGAAGGAAGACAAAGCAAGGGAUGAACUUGGGUUUCUUGUAUUUCUGGAGAGGGCAGAGGACAGGUGUCACAGGACAGAUGUGGAUGCUGGGGCACAUUAGAAUCAACACAUGUCACAGGAUAGCUGGGGUGCUGGGGUGCAUUAGAGUCUACAGCACUUAGCCCCACUUCCCUCUCCACUGCCUCACCCAUCCACACCUCACCCCAAAAACACCCUGCUUCCGGGCGAGGAGCCCAUUCCCGGGAGCCCCUGUCCCACCGCUCCAGUUCCAAAAGUGGACAUGCGAUUUCCCACUGGUGACAAUACAGC